rnacentral:rRNA from 1 species
GGGUUGUGAGGUUAAGCGACUAAGCGUACACGGUGGAUGCCCUGGCAGUCAGAGGCGAUGAAGGGCGUGCUAAUCUGCGAUAAGCGCCGGUAAGGUGAUAUGAACCGUUAUAACCGGCGAUACCCGAAUGGGGAAACCCAGUGUGAUUCGUCACACUAUCAUUAACUGAAUCCAUAGGUUAAUGAGGCGAACCGGGGGAACUGAAACAUCUAAGUACCCCGAGGAAAAGAAAUCAACCGAGAUUCCCCCAGUAGCGGCGAGCGAACGGGGAGGAGCCCAGAGCCUGAAUCAGCAUGUGUGUUAGUGGAAGCGUCUGGAAAGGCGCGCGAUACAGGGUGACAGCCCCGUACACAAAAGCGCAUGUGCUGUGAGCUCGAUGAGUAGGGCGGGACACGUGGUAUCCUGUCUGAAUAUGGGGGGACCAUCCUCCAAGGCUAAAUACUCCUGACUGACCGAUAGUGAACCAGUACCGUGAGGGAAAGGCGAAAAGAACCCCGGCGAGGGGAGUGAAAAAGAACCUGAAACCGUGUACGUACAAGCAGUGGGAGCACCCUUCGGGGUGUGACUGCGUACCUUUUGUAUAAUGGGUCAGCGACUUAUAUUCUGUAGCAAGGUUAACCGUAUAGGGGAGCCGGAGGGAAACCGAGUCUUAAUUGGGCGUUAAGUUGCAGGGUAUAGACCCGAAACCCGGUGAUCUAGCCAUGGGCAGGUUGAAGGUUGGGUAACACUAACUGGAGGACCGAACCGACUAAUGUUGAAAAAUUAGCGGAUGACCUGUGGCUGGGGGUGAAAGGCCAAUCAAACCGGGAGAUAGCUGGUUCUCCCCGAAAGCUAUUUAGGUAGCGCCUCGUGAAUUCAUCUCCGGGGGUAGAGCACUGUUUCGGCUAGGGGGCCAUCCCGGCUUACCAACCCGAUGCAAACUGCGAAUACCGGAGAAUGUUAUCACGGGAGACACACGGCGGGUGCUAACGUCCGUCGUGAAGAGGGAAACAACCCAGACCGCCAGCUAAGGUCCCAAAGUCAUGGUUAAGUGGGAAACGAUGUGGGAAGGCCCAGACAGCCAGGAUGUUGGCUUAGAAGCAGCCAUCAUUUAAAGAAAGCGUAAUAGCUCACUGGUCGAGUCGGCCUGCGCGGAAGAUGUAACGGGGCUAAACCAUGCACCGAAGCUGCGGCAGCGAACGUAUCACCCAAGACAACUUUACGGAGUUGACGAUUGACGGAGCGAAGCGACGUCAAAGCGUUCAUUAAAGUCGAGUUGGCUUAGGGAUACGUUCGUUGGGUAGGGGAGCGUUCUGUAAGCCUGUGAAGGUGUGUCGUGAGGCAUGCUGGAGGUAUCAGAAGUGCGAAUGCUGACAUAAGUAACGAUAAAGCGGGUGAAAAGCCCGCUCGCCGGAAGACCAAGGGUUCCUGUCCAACGUUAAUCGGGGCAGGGUGAGUCGACCCCUAAGGCGAGGCCGAAAGGCGUAGUCGAUGGGAAACGGGUUAAUAUUCCCGUACUUGGUGUUACUGCGAAGGGGGGACGGAGAAGGCUAUGUUGGCCGGGCGACGGUUGUCCCGGUUUAAGCGUGUAGGUGUGUGUUCCAGGUAAAUCCGGUUCACUUUAACACUGAGGCGUGACGACGAGGCACUACGGUGCUGAAGCAACAAAUGCCCUGCUUCCAGGAAAAGCCUCUAAGCAUCAGGUAACACGAAAUCGUACCCCAAACCGACACAGGUGGUCAGGUAGAGAAUACCAAGGCGCUUGAGAGAACUCGGGUGAAGGAACUAGGCAAAAUGGUGCCGUAACUUCGGGAGAAGGCACGCUGACACGUAGGUGAAGUGAUUUACUCAUGGAGCUGAAGUCAGUCGAAGAUACCAGCUGGCUGCAACUGUUUAUUAAAAACACAGCACUGUGCAAACACGAAAGUGGACGUAUACGGUGUGACGCCUGCCCGGUGCCGGAAGGUUAAUUGAUGGGGUCAGCGUAAGCGAAGCUCCUGAUCGAAGCCCCGGUAAACGGCGGCCGUAACUAUAACGGUCCUAAGGUAGCGAAAUUCCUUGUCGGGUAAGUUCCGACCUGCACGAAUGGCGUAAUGAUGGCCAGGCUGUCUCCACCCGAGACUCAGUGAAAUUGAACUCGCUGUGAAGAUGCAGUGUACCCGCGGCAAGACGGAAAGACCCCGUGAACCUUUACUAUAGCUUGACACUGAACAUUGAGCCUUGAUGUGUAGGAUAGGUGGGAGGCUUUGAAGUGUGGACGCCAGUCUGCAUGGAGCCGACCUUGAAAUACCACCCUUUAAUGUUUGAUGUUCUAACGUGGACCCGUAAUCCGGGUUGCGGACAGUGUCUGGUGGGUAGUUUGACUGGGGCGGUCUCCUCCUAAAGAGUAACGGAGGAGCACGAAGGUUGGCUAAUCCUGGUCGGACAUCAGGAGGUUAGUGCAAUGGCAUAAGCCAGCUUGACUGCGAGCGUGACGGCGCGAGCAGGUGCGAAAGCAGGUCAUAGUGAUCCGGUGGUUCUGAAUGGAAGGGCCAUCGCUCAACGGAUAAAAGGUACUCCGGGGAUAACAGGCUGAUACCGCCCAAGAGUUCAUAUCGACGGCGGUGUUUGGCACCUCGAUGUCGGCUCAUCACAUCCUGGGGCUGAAGUAGGUCCCAAGGGUAUGGCUGUUCGCCAUUUAAAGUGGUACGCGAGCUGGGUUUAGAACGUCGUGAGACAGUUCGGUCCCUAUCUGCCGUGGGCGCUGGAGAACUGAGGGGGGCUGCUCCUAGUACGAGAGGACCGGAGUGGACGCAUCACUGGUGUUCGGGUUGUCAUGCCAAUGGCACUGCCCGGUAGCUAAAUGCGGAAGAGAUAAGUGCUGAAAGCAUCUAAGCACGAAACUUGCCCCGAGAUGAGUUCUCCCUGAGACUUAGAGUCUCCUGAAGGAACGUUGAAGACGACGACGUUGAUAGGCCGGGUGUGUAAGCGCAGCGAUGCGUUGAGCUAACCGGUACUAAUGAACCGUGAGGCUUAACCUUACA